rnacentral:rRNA from 1 species
GGGAGGACGAGCUAACGAGGAUUCCCUUAGUAACGGCGAGUGAAGAGGGAUAAGCUCAAAUUUGAAAUCUGGCUUCUGGCCCGAGUUGUAGUUUCGAGAAGCGUUUUCUGCACCACACUGUGUACAAGUCUCUUGGAAUGGAGCCUCAUAGAGGGUGAGAAGCCCGUCUACGACACAGAAUUGAAGUGUGUGCUUUGUGAUGCGCUCUCAAAGAGUCGAGUUGUUUGGGAAUGCAGCUCAAAAUGGGUGGUAAAUUCCAUCUAAAGCUAAAUACAGGCGAGAGACCGAUAGCGAACAAGUACCGUGAGGGAAAGAUGAAAAGCACUUUGAAAAGAGAGUCAAACAGUACGUGAAAUUGUUGAAAGGGAAACGCUUGAAGUCAGUCGCGUGACUUGAGAUUCAGCUCUUAAGAGUGUACUUCUCUUGUUGACGGGCCAGGAUGAAUUUUGACCUGUGGAGAAAGGUUUUGAGGAAGGUGGCACUGCUUCGGGAGUGUGUUAUAGCCUCUUAAUCAGACAACAUGGGUUAAGAUUGAGGAUGGCAGCAUGGGCUUCGGUCCAACGGGGUUCGCCCACGUUUGAAAUGCUUAGGAUACUGGCGUAAUGGCUUUAAGCGACCCGUUCUUGAAACACGGACCAAAGGAGUCUAACAGGCUCGCGAGUAGUUGAGUGUUUAAACUCAAGUGCGGCAAUGAAAGUGAAAUUAGUUGGGACCUCUGUCGUGGAGGGCACCGACGCCCCAGACCAGAGCCACUCGGUGACGGAUCUGAGGUAGAGCGAGUCUGUUGGGACCCGAAAGAUGGUGAACUAUGCCUGAAUAGGGUGAAGCCAGAGGAAACUCUGGUGGAAGCUCGUAGCGAUUCUGACGUGCAAAUCGAUCGUCAAAUUUGGGUAUAGGGGCGAAAGACUAAUCGAACCAUCUAGUAGCUGGUUCCUGCCGAAGUUUCCCUCAGGAUAGCAGAAGCUCGUGAUUCAGAUUUAUGUGGUAAAGCGAAUGAUUAGAGGCCUUGGGGUUGAAAUGACCUUAACCUAUUCUCAAACUUUAAAUAUGUAAGAACAAGUUGUCACUUGAUUGGACAGCUUGGUGAAUGAGAGCUUCUAGUGGGCCAUUUUUGGUAAGCAGAACUGGCGAUGCGGGAUGAACCGAUCGCGGGGUUAAGGUGCCGGAAUGCACGCUCAUCAGACACCACAAAAGGUGUUAGUUCAUCUAGACAGCAGGACGGUGGCCAUGGAAGUUGGAAUCCGCUAAGGAGUGUGUAACAACUCACCUGCCGAAUGAACUAGCCCUGAAAAUGGAUGGCGCUCAAGCGUGCUACCCAUACCCCGCUGUCAGUGUUGAAGUGAAGCACUGACAAGUAGGCAGGCGUGGAGGUCCUUUGUUCAGAAGCCUGGCAGUAAUGCUGGGUACC